UACGUAGGGUGCAAGCGUUGUCCGGAAUUAUUGGGCGUAAAGAGCUCGUAGGCGGUCUGUCGCGUCUGCUGUGAAAACUCGGGGCUUAACCCCGGGCCUGCAGUGGGUACGGGCAGACUAGAGUGCGGUAGGGGAGACUGGAAUUCCUGGUGUAGCGGUGAAAUGCGCAGAUAUCAGGAGGAACACCGGUGGCGAAGGCGGAUCUCUGGGCCUGUCCUGACGCUCGAGGCGCGAAAGCUAGGGGAGCGAACAGG
rnacentral:rRNA from 1 species